rnacentral:rRNA from 1 species
AUGAACGCUGGCGGCGUGCCUCAUCCAUGCAAGUCGAGCGAACGGACGAGAAGCUUGCUUCUCUGAUGUUAGCGGCGGACGGGUGAGUAACACGUGGAUAACCUACCUAUAAGACUGGGAUAACUUCGGGAAACCGGAGCUAAUACCGGAUAAUAUUUUGAACCGCAUGGUUCAAAAGUGAAAGACGGUCUUGCUGUCACUUAUAGAUGGAUCCGCGCUGCAUUAGCUAGUUGGUAAGGUAACGGCUUACCAAGGCAACGAUGCAUAGCCGACCUGAGAGGGGGAUCGGCCACACUGGAACUGAGACACGGUCCAGACUCCUACGGGAGGCAGCAGUAGGGAAUCUUCCGCAAUGGGCGAAAGCCUGACGGAGCAACGGCGCGUGAGUGAUGAAGGUCUUCGGAUCGUAAAACUCUGUUAUUAGGGAAGAACAUAUGUGGAAGUAACUGUGCACAUCUUGACUGUACCUAAUCAGAAAGCCACGGCUAACUACGUG